UACGGGGGGGGCAAGCGUUGUUCGGAAUUACUGGGCUUAAAGGGCGCGUAGGCGGGUGCUCAAGUCCGUGGUGAAAUCCUCCGGCUCAACCGGAGAACUGCCUCGGAUACUGGGCGUCUCGAGUGUGGUAGGGGUAUGCGGAACUAUCGGUGGAGCGGUGAAAUGCGUAGAUAUCUGGAGGAACACCGGUGGCGAAGGCGGCAUCCUGGACCGACACUGACGCUGAGGAGCGAAAGCCAGGGGAGCAAACGGG
rnacentral:rRNA from 1 species